GACGAACGCUGGCGGCGUGCUUAACACAUGCAAGUCGAACGGAAAGGCCCUGCUUUUGUGGGGUGCUCGAGUGGCGAACGGGUGAGUAACACGUGAGUAACCUGCCCUUGACUUUGGGAUAACUUCAGGAAACUGGGGCUAAUACCGGAUAGGAGCUCCUGCUGCAUGGUGGGGGUUGGAAAGUUUCGGCGGUUGGGGAUGGACUCGCGGCUUAUCAGCUUGUUGGUGGGGUAGUGGCUUACCAAGGCUUUGACGGGUAGCCGGCCUGAGAGGGUGACCGGCCAAAUUGGGACUGAGAUACGGCCCAGACUCCUACGGGAGGCAGAAGUGGGGAAUAUUGCACAAUGGGCGGAAGCCUGAUGCAGCACCGCCGCGUGCGGGAUGACGGCCUUCGGGUUGUAAACCGCUUUCGCCUGUGACGAAGCGUGAGUGACGGUAAUGGGUAAAGAAGCACCGGCUAACUACGUG
rnacentral:rRNA from 1 species